rnacentral:snRNA from 1 species
AAAAAGGGGUCUUCUGCUGUGAGUGGCACACAUAGAACAGCUCCUUGUUCUACGUGCAAAAUUGACAUCGAGAGAUUUCAGAAGCAUAAUUUUGUGGCAGCAGGGGAGCUGGUAAUCACUGGUAAUCGCUAGUACUGGCACCUCA